UAUGAGCAAUCUUUUAAAGUUCCCAAAGUGCCAAGGAAGCCACAAGAGAUCGAAGUGACUUCUGUAGCUAGAAGGAAAGAAGUUCAUGAAAAGGAGGAAAUAUAUGAAGAAAGAGAAGAGGUUUAUGAACAAAAAGAAGAAAUUUAUGAACAAAAAGAACCUUAUGAAGAAUGGGAAGAAGAUUAUGGAGAACAGGAAUAUUAUGAAAGGGAAGAAGGUUAUGAAGAAGGGGAAGAGGAAUGGGAAACUUAUGAAGAAAAACAAGUUUAUCAUGAAGAAGUGAUUGGAGUUCCUCAGAAGCCCAUGCCUGAGCAUAUAACGCCAGCAAUUACAGCUGAAAAGAAAGAAAAGAAAGAAGUGACCAUACAUAAAGUUGUUAGGAAACCUGUAGCUGAAGAAGUUGAGGUAACCACUCAAAGGCUUGAGGAGGAAGAACUCAGACUGCCUAAAGGUACUGGUACCUACUGCAUGAUGUUAAUGCCACUAUGA
rnacentral:lncRNA from 1 species